ensembl:lncRNA
GUGAUUUGGAGAAUGGAUGGAUAAAGGCUCGUCCUGACAGCCAGCUAUGAUGGCACAGGUAUUUCUGAUUAAAAUAAAUUAUACAUUUUGUUAAAAAAAUCUGUUGUUAGAUUAAUGUGUUGUUAUAUAAGUAGGUCUAAAAUUCUACAUAUGGCACAAGUAAUUGUAUUUUUAUAAAAGCAGUCAGUUACUGCAAAGGGAGUAUUGUAAUGGGGUAAAUAAAAGGUCUUCAAAUUAACAUUUACUAUGUGCUAUGGUUUUUAUUUAUUACAUUUUUUUUAACUUCUGCCUUAAAAAACACGUUUUUUGGGUUAAGAAUGUAAUAUGUAGUAUAGGUUAGAAUAUAACCCUUCAUGUAGCCUGUAGCCUAUAGCCGUCUACACAGAUACAUUCACUAUAUUUGUUUUCAUAGCCUUCCAUUUGCACAUUGUCUGACCUGAGACGUGUGUGUGUGUGUGUGUGUACUCCAGGUUUGCCAGAAUUGUCUCACCUGCAGGUUCAGCACAUGAUUUCUGAAAAAGCUUGUGGUAUAAUCUGUAGUGAAAUAUAAUAAAAAUCAUGAUUCAAUAUUCAUAUAUAAUAUUUAUAAAAUUAUUGCUGUGUAUGCUCUUUUGAGUCAUCCGCGACACAAGGAUAGCAUACACAGCAUACGGUGAUAUGGAGUGACACAGAGGAGACCGUUGACAAAGGAAUUAUUGAAUAAAGUCAUUAUUUUUGUUUUCUUUGCUUACAAAAAGUGUUCCCAUUGCUUCAUAUAACCCAGAUUGCACGUCUGAUGGCAGAUGGAGUAUUCUGACGACGACUUUCAUCCCUUUUAUGGACCUUGACACUGCUAUUUACUUGGCAGUCUAUGGGACACUCACAGGCCUCCCGGUUUUCAUCCAAAAUAUCUUAAAUUGUGUUCCGAAGACAAACAGAGCUUUUACAGGUUUGGAACGACAUGGGGGUAAGUGAUUAAUGACAAAAUUUUCAUUUUGGGGUGGAGUAUCCCUUUAACACACUAUCUACAAUUAGGAGUGUCAAUGGUCCACUUGAGAGAUAGGUGGCGCUAAUGCACUUAUAAGUCUUCAAUCCGCCAUAAAGCAACAAGAACAAGAUGAUGCCUCACAUGCAGGCUGCUGUAAAGUGGGUUCAUAAGAGUUCUAACAGUUUGGACAUUGCGUGAAUCAGAGGUAAAAAAAAAACCCGAUAUAAAUA